CUAUAUUCCAGUGACGUUCUAUCCUAUUAAGCAACAAUCUUCAAGGUGGUGGUUCAGUUCAACACUGCUGACCUCCAUGUCCGGCGCCCCAUGCUCCAACCUUGGACUUGUUCCCAGGGACAUGAAUGGUAGCUUUCCAGUCAGUACUACAAAUUCCUCUGGCCGAAGCAUUGGUGUUAGCUCUUUGGUGACUGAUGGCAAUUCAUCGCUUUCUGGAGGUGCCCAGUUUCAGCAAAGUACGCGCACGAAUGCUGAUUCAUUCAUGUGCCUUCCUGCCUUUCUGAUGUCGUUUUCGUCCAAUAACAUUUCCAGCAGGGGUAAUAAUCGAGCCUCUCUAUAUUAUGCAAAUUGAUAUGCUUUAAACAACAAUAAAGCGCACCAAUUAAUUUAACACAACAUAUAAGCGAUUGUAAUUCAAGUUCAAUAUCACGAACUAUAUAUACAUGGCUUUUACAAUUGUACAUCUUAACUUAGUCUACAUGGCUUGUAGUACGCAUACUGCAGGUAGGGUAUGACGGUAUGUAUAUGGUUUCUUAUGUAAUACCAUGUUGGCUUUGAAACUGAGCAGAAUUAUUUAUUUUCCUUUUUAAUGGUUACUUAUUGAUUUAUACUUACAGAUUGUUGUCUUUUCCCUUCUGAAAUAAAAGCUGAUCUUCAAGUUCUGAUAGUCAGAUAUGAUUAUUAUGUAUGACUAUAUCAUCAACAAGGUGUUUUUAGUACCAAAUGAUGAAUAUUUCAACCACUAUUUGGCGGUAAGUUAGAUGCUUUCCCUUAGUUCCCAAAAAUAAUAUAGGUACUUCUGUUACAGUUGGGAGCUGUUGUAUUGUUAUCCCAGUAUAGUGGCCAAUACAAACUAUAUGCUAUAUUCGUAUGCACUCUCAGACCAAAUAAAGCAUAAUUGUAUUAUCUUUUUUACUGCCUUUGUGGUAACAUGGUAUCUCCAUGUAUCCUGUUUAAAAAAUCAUGGGAAAUAUUUUUGUAUUAGAAGUUUACCUUUUUCAACUAACAAGGAUAUUGGUAUUGUGGUUAUCAUUAGUUCAGGACACGGUGCUUCUAUAGAUGUAUUUUUUCGGGUACUAUUCCUCAUUAAAAGUCAGGAACAAGUUCUAUUCUGCCUAUUAUAUGUAUGAAAUAUGGAUGGAACAGACGUUUUUAUUUUGCAAAUUCCAUACGGAAAGGGAAAGAACAAACUAAAUACAAGGAUUGACCUGUGAUGUACUACUAUUUUUCAGUACUAUGAGCCUGUACUCAUGAAAUGCACUGCAAGGAAAUACGCACCUACAAGUUGUCCCUAUAAGAUUAAGUGCAGGUAUGUGGCAUGCAAGCAGAGGAGAGGAUGAACUUGACAUUUACUAAUACUACUUCAUAUUUGAUCUCACAAGAUUCAAAAGAUAAAUGGAGGAUUAUAUGGGUGUGUGGCAAGUAUACUGCAAUGACGAUAAUGAUGUUCCUGUUCGUGAUGAUGAUGAUGAUGCUGGAUGCUUUCAGUUUUAGUUAAGUUGUAGGGAUGAUGUUCCUCGGUUAAGUUUUAGAUAAGUUGUAGGGAUGUGAUGGAUGCUUUUAGUUUAAGUUUGCUAUCAAGAAAAUAUUUAGAUUAUACAUCACAUUAGAUGAUGUUCCUGCUGUAAUAAUCACUAUUGUAAUCCAACAAUUUUAUUAAGUAUAUGAUUUCUUCUUCCCGUGAAUAAUAUUUUCAUGGUUUCUCUUCAUGGAGCAUUAAUUUAGAUGCUGACAUUAUAUAUAAAAAAAUAAUAUUAUUCACAUCAUAUGUGUCAACAAUUAACCGUUGCAAAUUCUUUGUUGCCAAGCAAUGGGAUUUUGAUUCCUGUACAUUAAGCACCAACGUAUAAAAGUGUUGCACAAGUCUAUUUUAUCUGUUGUACUCUUGCAACGGCCCCUUUACCAACGGCACUAUAAGCGUUGCACUAUGCGCUAGCAACACUGGAUAAGGCUAUGCAUCCCAAAGCGUUGGUAAAUACACUAACAACGCAUAUAUGGACUUUUAGAUACGGAAAAAAUCGUUGCUAUAGGAGGGGUCUUGUUGUAGUGGUUGUAGGUAUGUAUGCUGUAUGCUACUCCCACAUUUCUUUCUCCUGCAGCAACCAUGCUAUUUUGGUCCUCUAACAGACUUGUCCUGCAGCAGCUACUGCAUAUGGUAAUGCCUAUGAAUCUUGGCUAGCUCCUGCAACCAAUGUUUAUCAACAGGGGGAUCAUGAUGAAGCAGCUACUGCAUAUGGUAAUGCUUAUGAAUCUUCGCUAGCUCCUGCAACCAAUGUUUAUCAGCAGGCGAAUCAUGAUGAAGGUCCUCCCACCGCCGCUUCUUCUGCAGCAAACAUAACGUUUGGUACGGCAACACAUGGGCCUCCUUAUGAAGUUGUGCAAGUUCCUACAGCAAGCACUUCUUUUGAAACAAAUAGUCAUCAAGAGAGGAAUGUUUAUGAAGAUAUGGAUACUUAUCUUUCCACAUUUCUGCACUCGGACGUGAAUCCUGGAGCUCGUCCUUUUGAAGCCAAUUUCACUGAUAUGUGUGCAUAUGAUGAUACGAUCUUGUAUCUGGAUCUGGAUGCCUUUGCGGAUCCUCACAAUGCAGCUCCUAAUCGGAAAGAAGCAAGGAGUCCAACCCCUGAGGACGCUCAGCAAGAGAACUGAUGCCACCAAUACUGUGCCUCAUGAAACUUGUCCGAUCCGAAUCCUGAUGAGUUACAUUGAUCAUCAUGCAUGUUUAUGGCAUUUUCACGCAAAAUUGCUUUACCGGUUUCUUGGUGCAUCGGAUGGUGAUGGAAACACUGUCGGUUACUUAGCUUCAUCUCUACUUGGAUCGGAAACUUGUAACAGAAGUGUGACUUAGGCGCAUGAUGGAUGGUUCCAGUGACCACUCUUUAGUUUUAUCUCUCCUUGGAUGGAAAACUUGUACCGGAAGUUGACUUGGGUGCAGGAUGGAUGGUUCCAGUGACCAUUUGAAUUGCAAAGCUGUGAUUCUUAUCAGCUAUUGGUUGCUGCUUUAC